GACGAACCGUGCGAACGUUAUUCGGAAUCACCGGGCUUAAAGCGCGUGUAGGCGGGGUGGCACGUCGGUCGCUGAAAGCCCCCGGCUCAACCGGGGAAGGGGCGCCGAUACGACCACCCUGGAGGGACGUAGGGGGACCUGGAACUUCCGGUGGAGCGGUGAAAUGCGUUGAGAUCGGAAGGAACGCCCGUGGCGAAAGCGAGGUCCUGGACGUUUACUGACGCUGAGACGCGAAAGCCAGGGGAGCGAACGGG
rnacentral:rRNA from 1 species